rnacentral:rRNA from 1 species
UGAGGAAUAUUGGUCAAUGGGCGGGAGCCUGAACCAGCCAAGCCGCGUGAGGGAAGAAGGCCCUAUGGGUCGUAAACCUCUUUUGUCAGGGAACAAAAGCGAGUAUGUAUACUGGUCUGAGUGUACCUGAAGAAAAACGCAUCGGCUAACUCCGUGCCAGCAGCCGCGGUAAUACGGAGGAUGCGAGCGUUAUCCGGAUUUAUUGGGUUUAAAGGGUGCGUAGGCGGCGGUGCAAGUCAGCGGUAAAAGCCCGGGGCUCAACCCCGGCGAGCCGUUGAAACUGCAGUGCUAGAGAAGGCGAGAGGUACGCGGAAUGCGCAGUGUAGCGGUGAAAUGCUUAGAUAUUGCGCAGAACUCGAUUGCGAAGGCAGCGUACUGGCGCCUGACUGACGCUGAGGCACGAAAGCGUGGGGAUCGAACAGGAUUAGAUACC